rnacentral:rRNA from 1 species
CAGUCGCCGCGGUAAAACGGAGGGGGCUAGCGUUGUUCGGAAUUACUGGGCGUAAAGCGCACGUAGGCGGCUUGGUAAGUUAGAGGUGAAAGCCCGGAGCUCAACUCUGGAAUUGCCUUUAAGACUGCCGAGCUAGCAGGUGAGAGAGGUAAGUGGAAUUCCGAGUGUAGAGGUGAAAUUCGUAGAUAUUCGGAAGAACACCAGUGGCGAAGGCGGCUUACUGGCUCAUACUGGACGCUGAGGUGCGAAAGCGUGGGGAGCAAACAGGAUUAGAUACCCCGGUAGCCCUGUCUCUUAUACC